AUGCAGAGUGGAUUCAGCAGGUCUGAAAAAGGGCCUGAGUCUACCUUUCUAACAAGAUCCCAGCUGAAGCCAAUGCUGCUGCUCACAGACCACACUUUCUAUAGCAAACAUUAAACUCUGGUGGAGGCGGUAAUCAAGAGGACGUGACCACCGGUUAACCAGCGAGCUUGACCAGGGCAAUCAGAGACUCCUCCCUCUUCCUGUGUCCUUGGAAUGUGCCGGAAGGAUCUAGUCACUGGGAACCUAUUCUAGCCUGGAGUCCAUAGAAGACUCAGUUUGGUGACAGCCUAUGAGCAGAUGCCUUAUUUGCAAACACACUCCCGGGAAACAAAGAAUAAUGAGAAAAGAAGAAUGAGACCAGAAAAGAGGAAGAACAAAUAAAAGGAGUUGUGUUUCCGAGCUGUCCGCAGCUCUGUAACCACCAGAGCUGAUCAUUCAGUCCUGUGGGCAGCAUCCUGAGAAACUUUACAAACUAUUGUUUCUUUGAGCAGACCAUCUUGGGACAGCAAGGAAUUAUUGCUGUGGCUUUGCCAGCCAGAUUUCAGAAGCAAGGCAAGUGCGGGAACCUGAGAUGGCCUGGAAUGAGAAAUUAUUUCCAGAGAAAAAGAAAUAUAACAAUUUGCUAAAUCAUUUGGAAGGGGUUGAAUCUCAUUGCUGUCACGUUUUAACAUGAACAAGAAAAUGGAAAGAAGUAAUAAAAUUGGUUCCACAGGAAGCGUUUAAGAUCAGAGAUUUUCCUUUGCAUCCUCUGAGUGACAAAGACAAAGUUUUGCAUCUGCUGUCUAUGUGCUAACUGAAUUUUCCACUGUUUACUCCUUAAACGCAAUUCUGAUUGUACAGCCUUAAGAAAGAACAUCCAAGUGAAUGAGCAGGAUGCGAUAUUUCGUGCACUGCUCCCACUUUGGGAUUGUCAGAUUGCAUCUGUGGGAUUAAAUCUUUUAAGGAGUUGUCAAAUUUAAUUGGAGAGUUUGCACAGUUCUGGUUUACUGGAUACAUCACACCACCAAGAUCUUUUUCUUUUAUCACUUUAU
rnacentral:lncRNA from 1 species